rnacentral:rRNA from 1 species
GACAGAGGGUGCAAACGUUGCUCGGAAUUACUGGGCGUAAAGCGCGUGUAGGCGGAUCGGUGUGUCAGGUGUGAAAUCCCCGGGCUCAACCCGGGAACUGCACUUGAAACUGCCAGUCUUGAGUGUCGGAGAGGGUAGCGGAAUUCCUGGUGUAGAGGUGAAAUUCGUAGAUAUCAGGAGGAACACCGGUGGCGAAGGCGGCUACCUGGACGACCACUGACGCUGAGACGCGAAAGCGUGGGGAGCAAACAGG